UGCAAGUCGAACGAGAUUUAGCAAAGCUUGCUUUGCGAGAUCUAGUGGCGAACGGGUGAGUAACACGUGAGCAACCUGCCCAGAAGCAGGGGAUAGCCCACCGAAAGGUGGAUUAAUACCGUAUGUAAUCCCAAGAGGCAUCCCUUGGAGAUUAAAGCCGGGGACCUUCGGGCCUGGCACUUCUGGAUGGGCUCGCGGCCUAUCAGCUUGUUGGUGAGGUAACGGCUCACCAAGGCGACGACGGGUAGCUGGUCUGAGAGGAUGACCAGUCACACUGGAACUGAGACACGGUCCAGACACCUACGGGUGGCAGCAGUCGAGAAUCAUUCACAAUGGGCGAAAGCCUGAUGGUGCGACGCCGCGUGGAGGAUGACAGCUCUAGGGUUGUAAACUCCUGUCAUGAGAGAGUAAAAACCUACCGUUAAUAGCGGUUGGGUCUUGAUAGUAUCUCAAGAGGAAGGGACGGCUAACUUCGUGCCAGCAGCCGCGGUAAUACGAAGGUCCCAAGCGUUGUUCGGAAUCACUGGGCGUAAAGCGUGCGUAGGCGGCAUGGUAAGUCAGAUGUGAAAGCCCGGGGCUCAACCCCGGAACUGCAUCCGAUACUGCCAAGCUAGAGUAGUGGAGGGGAGUCUGGAAUUCACGGUGUAGCAGUGAAAUGCGUAGAUAUCGUGAGGAACACUAGUGGCGAAGGCGAGACUCUGGACACUAACUGACGCUGAGGCACGAAGGCCAGGGUAGCGAAAGGGA
rnacentral:rRNA from 1 species